rnacentral:rRNA from 1 species
UACGAACUGUGCAAACGUUAUUCGGAAUCACUGGGCUUAAAGGGUGCGUAGGCGGCUGUCUAAGCAGGGUGUGAAAGCCCCCGGCUCAACCGGGGGAAUUGCGUUCUGAACUGGACGGCGUGGAGUGGGAUAGAGGUGUGCGGAACUUCCGGUGGAGCGGUGAAAUGUGUUGAUAUCGGAAGGAACGCCGGUGGCGAAAGCGGCACACUGGGUCUCAACUGACGCUGAGGCACGAAAGCCAGGGGAGCGAACGGG